AGUGGCGCACGGGUGAGUAACGCGUAGGUAAGCUACCAUUAGGUUAGGGAUAGCCCGUACGAAAGUAGGAUUAAUACCUUUUAUACUUGUUAUACUUAAGUAUAAUAAGGAAAGGCUUUUGCCGCCUUUUGAUGUGCCUGCGUUGGAUUAGCUUGUUGGUGGGGUAACGGCUCACCAAGGCGACGAUCUAUAGCCGAGCUGAGAGGCUGAUCGGCCACAUUGGAACUGAGACACGGUCCAGACUCCUACGGGAGGCAGCAGCUAAGAAUCUUCCGCAAUAGACGAAAGUCUGACGGAGCGACGCCGCGUGAAUGAUGAAGGCCCUUCGGGUUGUAAAGUUCUUUUAUAGGGGAAGAAAGUUUGGUGUAGUCCAAUCUGACGGUACCCUCUGAAUAAGGUCCGGCUAACUACGUGCCAGCAGCCGCGGUAAUACGUAGGGACCUAGCGUUGUUCGGAAUUAUUGGGCGUAAAGGGUACGUAGGCGGCUUAGUAAGUCGGAUGUGAAAGUCUCGGGCUCAACCUGAGGAUUGCGUCCGAUACUGCUGAGCUAGAGUUAUGGAGAGGAAGGCGGAAUUCCUGGUGUAGGGGUGAAAUCUAUAGAUAUCAGGAAGAACAUCGGUUGCGAAGGCUGCCUUCUGGACAUAAACUGACGCUGAUGUACGAAAGUUAGGGUAGCAAACAGGAUUAGAGACCCUGGUAGUCCUAACCGUAAACGUUGUAUACUAGGUGGUGGGAGUAAUGAUCCUUUCACUGCCGGAGCUAACGCAUUAAGUAUACCGCCUGGGGAGUAUGCCGGCAACGGUGAAACUCAAAGGAAUUGACGGGGGCCCGCACAAGCAGUGGAGCAUGUUGUUUAAUUCGAUGAUACGCGAGUAACCUUACCAGGUCUUGACAUAUACUUGAAUGGCAUGGAAACAUGUCAGCUUUUCGGAGCAGGUAUACAGGUGCUGCAUGGUUGUCGUCAGCUCGUGCCGUGAGGUGUUGGGUUAAGUCCCGCAACGAGCGCAACCCUUAUUCUUUGUUGCUAACGUGUAAUGGCGAGCACUCUAAGGAGACUGCCGGUGACAAACCGGAGGAAGGUGGGGAUGACGUCAAAUCAUCACGGCCCUUACGACCUGGGCUACAAACGUGCUACAAUGGGCAGUACAAAGAGUAGCGAUACCGCGAGGUGGGGCCAAUCUCAAAAAGCUGUCCUCAGUUCGGAUUGGAGUCUGAAACCCGACUCCAUGAAGCUGGAAUUGCUAGUAAUCGCACAUCAUCAUGGUGCGCGUGAAUACGUUCCCGGGCCUUGUACACACCGCCCGUCACAUCACCCGAAUUGACUAUACCCGAAGUAACCGAGCUAACCCGUAAGGGAGGCAGGUUCCUAAGGU
rnacentral:rRNA from 1 species